GAGUUUGAUCGUGGCUCAGAUUGAACGCUGGCGGCAUGCCUUACACAUGCAAGUCGAACGGCAGCAUGAUCUAGCUUGCUAGAUUGAUGGCGAGUGGCGAACGGGUGAGUAAUACAUCGGAACGUGCCCUGUAGUGGGGGAUAACUAGUCGAAAGAUUAGCUAAUACCGCAUACGACCUGAGGGUGAAAGUGGGGGACCGCAAGGCCUCAUGCUAUAGGAGCGGCCGAUGUCUGAUUAGCUAGUUGGUGGGGUAAAGGCCCACCAAGGCGACGAUCAGUAGCUGGUCUGAGAGGACGACCAGCCACACUGGGACUGAGACACGGCCCAGACUCCUACGGGAGGCAGCAGUGGGGAAUUUUGGACAAUGGGCGAAAGCCUGAUCCAGCAAUGCCGCGUGUGUGAAGAAGGCCUCGGUUGUAAGUAC
rnacentral:rRNA from 1 species